GACAGAGGGGGCAAGCGUUGCUCGGAAUUACUGGGCGUAAAGGGCUCGUAGGCGGCCAACUAAGUCAGACGUGAAAUCCCUCGGCUUAACUGGGGAACUGCAUCUGAUACUGGAUGGCUUGAGUUCGGGAGAGGGAUGCGGAAUUCCAGGUGUAGCGGUGAAAUGCGUAGAUAUCUGGAGGAACACCGGUGGCGAAGGCGGCAUCCUGGACCGACACUGACGCUGAGGAGCGAAAGCCAGGGGAGCAAAGCGGG
rnacentral:rRNA from 1 species